rnacentral:lncRNA from 1 species
UGCUCGAUAAGCACAUGUAGUUUUUGGAGCCACUUAAAAAUGAGGCUUUUAAGUUAGGCCUGAGUAAGCCUGUGACCCGUGAGACUUGACUGAGGCUGGGCUGGUGUCACGAUCCAAGUUCUCCCUCCGUGAACUGUCAUAAUGGUACCUAGUCUCUACGGCUAGGUAAGCCUAACAAUUUGCCGAAAGAAACAAAGAUACGACAACUAACACUUUUAUAGGUAAAUAUAAUAAAGAAGAUUAAAA